rnacentral:rRNA from 1 species
GAUGGAUGCUGGCGGCGUGCCUAACACAUGCAAGUCGAGCGGUAACAGGUCUAGUUUACUAGAUGCUGACGAGCGGCGGACGGCUGAGUAACGCGUGGGAACGUGCCCCAAAGUGAGGAAUAACUGCCCGAAAGGGUGGCUAAUGCCGCAUAUGAUCUUCGGAUUAAAGGAUUUAUCCGCUUUGGGAGCGGCCCGCGUUAGAUUAGGUAGUUGGUGAGGUAAUGGCUCACCAAGCCUACGAUCUAUAGCUGGUCUGAGAGGAUGAUCAGCCAGACUGGGACUAAGACACGGCCCAGACUCCUACGGGAGGCAGCAGUGAGGAAUCUUCCACAAUGGGCGAAAGCCUGAUGGAGCAACGCCGCGUGAAGGAUGAAGGCCCUAGGGUCGUAAACUUCUUUUAUAAGUGAAGAAUAUGACGGUAACUUAUGAAUAAGCACCGGCUAACUACGUGCCAGCCGCCGCGGUAACAC